rnacentral:rRNA from 1 species
UACGAAGGGGGCUAGCGUUGCUCGGAAUCACUGGGCGUAAAGGGUGCGUAGGCGGGUCUUUAAGUCGGUGGUGAAAUCCUGGAGCUCAACUCCAGAACUGCCUUCGAUACUGAGAGUCUUGAGUCCGGGAGAGGUGAGUGGAACUGCGAGUGUAGAGGUGAAAUUCGUAGAUAUUCGCAAGAACACCAGUGGCGAAGGCGGCUCACUGGCCCGGUACUGACGCUGAGGUGCGAAAGCGUGGGGAGCAAACAGG